AUUGAACGCUGGCGGCAGGCCUAACACAUGCAAGUCGAACGAGUGGCGGACGGGUGUGUAAUGUCUGGAAAACUGCCUGAUGGAGGGGGAUAACUUCUGGAACCGGUAGCUAAUACCGCAUACCUUCACAUUGGCCCAGAUGGGCUUAGCUUGUUGGUGGGGUAACGGCUCACCAAGGCGACGAUCCCUAGAUGGUCUGAGAGGAUGACCAGCACAACGGUAACGGAGACACGGUCCAGACUCCUACGGUAGGCAGCAGUGGGGAAUUGUGCACAAUGGGCGAAAGCCUGAUGCAGCAAUGCCGCGGGUAUGAAGAAGGCCUUCGGGUUGUAAAGUACUUUCAGCGGGGAGGCGUUACCCGCAGAGGAAGCACCGGCUAACUCCGUGCCAGCAGCCGCGGUAAUUC
rnacentral:rRNA from 1 species